rnacentral:rRNA from 1 species
UACGAAGGGGCUAGCGUUGUUCGGAUUUACUGGGCGUAAAGCGCACGUAGGCGGAUCGAUCAGUCAGGGGUGAAAUCCCAGAGCUCAACUCUGGAACUGCCUUUGAUACUGUCGAUCUGGAGUAUGGAAGAGGUGAGUGGAAUUCCGAGUGUAGAGGUGAAAUUCGUAGAUAUUCGGAAGAACACCAGUGGCGAAGGCGGCUGACUGGUCCGGUUCUGACGCUGAGG